AUUGAACGCUGGCGGCAUGCCUUACACAUGCAAGUCGAACGGCAGCGCGGGAGCAAUCCUGGCGGCGAGUGGCGAACGGGUGAGUAAUACAUCGGAACGUGCCCAAUCGUGGGGGAUAACGCAGCGAAAGCUGUGCUAAUACCGCAUACGAUCUACGGAUGAAAGCAGGGGACCGCAAGGCCUUGCGCGAAUGGAGCAGCCGAUGGCAGAUUAGGUAGUUGGUGGGGUAAAGGCUCACCAAGCCAACGAUCUGUAGCUGGUCUGAGAGGACGACCAGCCACACUGGGACUGAGAAAAGGCCCAGACUCCUACGGGAGGCAGCAGUGGGGAAUUUUGGACAAUGGGCGCAAGCCUGAUUCAGCCAUGCCGCGUGCAGGAUGAAGGCCUUCGGGUUGUAAACUGCUUUUGUACGGAACGAAAAGGUCCUUUCUAAUAAAGAGGGCUCAUGACGGUACCGUAAGAAUAAGCACCGGCUAACUACGUGCCAGCCGCCGCGGUAAAAC
rnacentral:rRNA from 1 species